UACGUAGGUGGCGAGCGUUAUCCGGAUUUACUGGGUGUAAAGGGCGUGCAGGCGGGUCCGCAAGUCGGGUGUGAAAUAUCCGGGCUUAACCCGGAGAGGUCAUUCGAAACUGCGGAGCUUGAGUACUGGAGAGGACAGUGGAAUUCCUGGUGUAGCGGUAAAAUGCGUAGAGAUCAGGAGGAACACCAGUGGCGAAGGCAGCUGUCUGGACAGUAACUGACGCUGAGGCGCGAAAGCGUGGGGAGCAAACAGG
rnacentral:rRNA from 1 species